GACUAACGCUGGCGGCGUGCUUAACACAUGCAAGUCGAACGGAAAGGCCCUGCUUUUGUGGGGUGCUCGAGUGGCGAACGGGUGAGUAACACGUGAGUAACCUGCCCUUGACUUUGGGAUAACUUCAGGAAACUGGGGCUAAUACCGGAUAGGAGCUCCUGCUGCAUGGUGGGGGUUGGAAAGUUUCGGCGGUUGGGGAUGGACUCGCGGCUUAUCAGCUUGUUGGUGGGGUAGUGGCUUACCAAGGCUUUGACGGGUAGCCGGCCUGAGAGGGUGACCGGCCACAUUGGGACUGAGAUACGGCCCAGACUCCUACGGGAGGCAGCAGUGGGGAAUAUUGCACAAUGGGCGGAAGCCUGAUGCAGCAACGCCGCGUGCGGGAUGACGGCCUUCGGGUUGUAAACCGCUUUCGCCUGUGACGAAGCGUGGGUGACGGUAAUGGGUAAAGAAGCACCGGCUAACUACGUG
rnacentral:rRNA from 1 species